rnacentral:rRNA from 1 species
UACGUAGGGUGCAGGCGUUAAUCGGAAUUACUGGGCGUAAAGCGUGCGCAGGCGGUCUUUUAAGUCAGAUGUGAAAUCCCCGGGCUUAACCUGGGAACUGCGUUUGAAACUGGAAGGCUAGAGUGUGGCAGAGGGGGGUGGAAUUCCACGUGUAGCAGUGAAAUGCAUAGAGAUGUGGAGGAACACCGAUGGCGAAGGCAGCCCCCUGGGUCAAGAUUGACGCUCAUGCACGAAAGCGUGGGGAGCAAACAGG